GUCAGAAGGACUACCGUCAAAUGGGGGCACACCCACCGAGGACAUCUCAGAAAUUGCAUGAAACAUUGGGUUUAGUCCCGUUAAUCUUUUCACCGACUCCUCGGCCAUCUUCACCUGGAUAUAUGAAAUCACAGGCAAGGCGCUUGAGGAGAGACGAAUUCUCAACUCUAAGUUGAGCAACCUGUCAUUCAUCAGGAGAAGAUUAGGAGGCCAGAGAGAGGACACAGAUGAGGAGUCAUAGUUAACAUGUAACAAGGGGCAUCGAACUUACUUGUGUCUCUAGCUCGGUCAAAUGGGCCUGCUUUCUUCUUCGCGAGCGUCUAGCCGAUUCUCUAUUGGAGAGCAUUCUGAAAGAGCACUUAUCAAGUCAUUAAACUUUUCUUCAACUCACACAAAUCGACCCAAUAUGUCCUUAAUGAACCAUAUAGCACACAAUGAAUCUCAGAAAACUUUUGCCGGA